GCUAAAUUAAAACGUUGAUCUGGCUUAUUGAAAUGACAUUAAUUAGCAACAGUCUUGGAAAUUUUUAAGGCUUGAUUUUGGAUAUACAUGAUAAAACUUAAUACUACUUUAGAAACUUCAGAACAAAGGAAGCAGCUUAAUGAUCCUGAGGGAAUUUCCUCUGAUGGUGGCCUUUAUAUUAUCAGAAAAAGAUCCUAUUUUCAGUUUUGCGUGAGCAAGUGUUUCUAAUGUAAAAAGAUAUAAAGAUAUAAAAUUUUAAAAAUUACAUCUUAAACCUAGAAAUUAUGACUUAUAGCUAAAAUGCCUUAGGCAUGAGGUUUCUGCUCAGAAUUCCAGUUUUCCCAGUUCCUUCCAGGCCUCAGCCAGGACUUAAGCUGAUAUGCAAGUAGAAGAAGCCUGGGGCUCAACAGAGGGCAGAUUUCAGGCCCAAGGGAAAAAAAAAAGGUUAAAGUGUCUUUUUACCUGAACUCAAACUAGACCCCAACUAAAAAGUAAAUUAUAUGG
rnacentral:lncRNA from 1 species